rnacentral:rRNA from 1 species
GAUGAACGCUGGCGGCGUGCCUAAUACAUGCAAGUCGAGCGAACGGACGAGUAGUUUGCGUCGCUGAUGAUAGCGGCGGACGGGUGAGUAACGCGUGGAUAACCUACCUAUAAGAGUGGGAUAACUUCGGGAAACCGGAGCUAACACCGGAUAAUAUUUUGAACCGCAUGGUUCAAAAAUGUUAUACGGUCUUGAUGUACCUUAUAGACUGAUCCGAGCUGCAUUAGCUAAUGGGUAAGGAAACGGCUUACCGAGGCCACGAUGCAUAGGCGACCUGCGAGUGCGGUAGGCCACACUCGAACGGAUACACGCACCAGAGUCCUCCGGGACGGACCAGUAGGGAACAUUCGGCAAUAGGCGAAAGCAUGACGCAAUCAUCCCGCGUGAGAGACAAAGGUCUUGGGGUCGUAAUGAGCUUUUUUUAGGGAAAAACAUAUUUGUAAGGAACUGAACACAUAGUGACGGUACCUAAUCAGAAAGCCCCGGCUAACUACGUG